GCUGGCGUGGCUCAAUUGGUAGAGCACCCGAUUUGUAAUCGGGCGGUUGGGAGUUCGAGUCUCUCCGCCAGCACCA
rnacentral:tRNA from 5 species